GCGCUCACUUCAGCAGCACAUAUACCGAAACUGGAACGAUACAGGGGAGAUUAGCAUGGCCCCUGUGCAAGAAUGAUACGCAAAUAUGUGAAGCGUUUCACAUUUAA